rnacentral:rRNA from 1 species
AUUGAACGCUGGCGGCAUGCCUUACACAUGCAAGUCGAACGGCAGCACGGGUGCUUGCACCUGGUGGCGAGUGGCGAACGGGUGAGUAAUACAUCGGAACAUGUCCUGUAGUGGGGGAUAGCCCGGCGAAAGCCGGAUUAAUACCGCAUACGAUCCACGGAUGAAAGCGGGGGACCUUCGGGCCUCGCGCUAUAGGGUUGGCCGAUGGCUGAUUAGCUAGUUGGUGGGGUAAAGGCCUACCAAGGCGACGAUCAGUAGCUGGUCUGAGAGGACGACCAGCCACACUGGGACUGAGACACGGCCCAGACUCCUACGGGAGGCAGCAGUUGGGAAUUUUGGACAAUGGGCGAAAGCCUGAUCCAGCAAUGCCGCGUGUGUGAAGAAGGCCUUCGGGUUGUAAAGCACUUUUGUCCGGAAAGAAAUCCUUGGCUCUAAUACAGUCGGGGGAUGACGGUACCGGAAGAAUAAGCACCGGCUAACUACGUG